rnacentral:rRNA from 1 species
GAUGAACGCUGGCGGCGUGCCUAAUACAUGCCAGUCGAGCGAACGGACGAGAAGCUUGCUUCUCUGAUGUUAGCGGCGGACGGGUGAGUAACACGUGGAUAACCUACCUAUAAGACUGGGAUAACUUCGGGAAACCGGAGCUAAUACCGGAUGAUAUUUUGAACCGCAUGGUUCAAAAGUGAAAGACGGUCUUGCUGUCACUUAUAGAUGGAUCCGCGCUGCAUUAGCUAGUUGGUAAGGUAACGGCUUACCAAGGCAACGAUGCAUAGCCGACCUGAGAGGGUGAUCGGCCACACUGGAACUGAGACACGGUCCAGACUCCUACGGGAGGCAGCAGUAGGGAAUCUCCCGCAAUGGGCGAAAGCCUGACGGAGCAACGCCGCGUGAGUGAUGAAGGUCUUCGGAUCGUAAAACUCUGUUAUUAGGGAAGAACAUAUGUGUAAGUAACUGUGCACAUCUUGACGGUACCUAAUCAGAAAGCCACGGCUAACUACGUG